rnacentral:rRNA from 1 species
AGCGGGAUGCCUUACACAUGCAAGUCGAACGGCAGCGCGGACUUCGGUCUGGCGGCGAGUGGCGAACGGGUGAGUAAUAUAUCGGAACGUGCCUAGUAGCGGGGGAUAACUACUCGAAAGAGUGGCUAAUACCGCAUACGCCCUACGGGGGAAAGGGGGGGAUCGCAAGACCUCUCACUAUUAGAGCGGCCGAUAUCGGAUUAGCUAGUUGGUGGGGUAAAGGCCCACCAAGGCGACGAUCCGUAGCUGGUUUGAGAGGACGACCAGCCACACUGGGACUGAGACACGGCCCAGACUCCUACGGGAGGCAGCAGUGGGGAAUUUUGGACAAUGGGGGAAACCCUGAUCCAGCCAUUCCGCGUGUGCGAUGAAGGCCUUCGGGUUGUAAAGCACUUUUGGCAGGAAAGAAAUCGCACAGAUUAAUACUUUGUGUGGAUGACGGUACCUGCAGAAUAAGCACCGGCUAACUACGUGCCAGCAGCCGCGGUAAUACGUAGGGUGCAAGCGUUAAUCGGAAUUACUGGGCGUAAAGCGUGCGCAGGCGGUUCGGAAAGAGAGGUGUGAAAUCCCAGGGCUUAACCUUGGAACUGCACUUUUAACUCCCGAGCUAGAGUAUGUCAGAGGGGGGUGGAAUUCCGCGUGUAGCAGUGAAAUGCGUAGAUAUGCGGAGGAACACCGAUGGCGAAGGCAGCCCC